AUUCACGCCUGCAUCUUUCCUUACAAGUCAUCACACAACAACCCCUUCCUUGCUGACUUCGUUCGGAGGCGUUGAAGAAGCGAUUAAGGGCCCAGCAGCACCCACCACGCGCCCCGUGCGCUCCGGCAGCAUGGUCGGACCGGCUGCUGCGGCACCCGACCCGCUGAGCUGCUCCUGGCCUUCGGAGAGACCCCAGCCCUGGGAUGGAGGAAGGUUUCUGGGGGUUCUUUUGAGUAUUGAUGCUUCCCAGUGCUUUACGCAGCAGUGCCGGGUCAGAUGCUAUAUUCAUCAGCCAGGAGAAGCAAAAGAUUUUAGAAGCUGAGGGUUCAUUUGCUUUUCUGGCUAAAAGGAGCUUUGCCCUUCCCAGUGCGUCAGGGCCGCCUUGCGCAAGGCUGCGCUCGCCGCCCGCUCUCUUCUGCUGCCACCCCGUGCUUUUCGCCCCAGGGCUCCCCUCUCACGGAUGCCCAAAUCGAUGCUGGGAUGUGAACAGUUCCCAGGAAGAGGCAGGAAGAAAGGAGAUGCAAAUCCUUUCUGCUGCCCCCACCUGGCCUUAGUGCUUCUCCCUGGCAUUGCCUGGAUGGGUUUCCACGGUCUCGGGGAGCCUGCACCGCGGUGCCCCCAGGGCUUGCUCUGGUCCUGCCCGCAGCGGCCGCUCCUUAAGCAUCCAUCAAACAGCCGCGACCGGGGGAAGUGAUCCCUGGUUUCAUUCCACCCACGUCCACCUUCUUAGUGGAGAAGCUGUGUUUGUUCGCGCCGGUGUCUGGCCUCCUGUCAAGAGCUCCUGCAGGCAGCUUGGAGCUGCUCCUAAUGGGCUGCCAGGGGAUUUGCGCUCUGACAGUAGCGUGCGCCGGGCGCUGACAGCUCCCUGGAACGGCUCGCUCCACCCAUGGGACUGGAAAUUGCUCGCUCAUCUUCUCCCCAGCGAGACAGCAGAGGGAUGAGCAGGGAUGCUCCGCUUGGAGGGGGCUGGUUGCACGUGAACCCCCUUCUCCCUACCACACGUUUGCAAUGGGGGGAUGCUUGGAGCUGAAAAAGCCCACAGACGGCACUGGUACAAGCAGACGUGGGAUGGUGACGCUCUGGGACAAGACGGUGAUGCUUGUCCCAGGUCCAAGGGGGCAGUCAUGCAGGGAUGGGGCCCCUGUGAGCUGGGAGAGCUGGGAGCAAGCACCAAUGCCCUGCAGGACUCCCCCUCCAGCUGCUGUCCCCUGCCUGACCGAAAUGCCACCUCUCUUCUGUUUAACACAGGGCUCCUCUGUUUCCCCGCCACAGGGCCAGGGACUCCCUGGGUUGAUCCCAGCCACCAGCUGCAGAGGGAACGGCCUGUCGUGGAGCACCUCACCGUCUUGUAUGGCUUUUUAUUCCUAUGUGAUUAUACAUCCUGCUUCAUAUAGGGAUUGAAGCCGUGCAAUACGCUGGGGCCCUACAGCAGAGAGCAGCCCGUGCACCGUGGGAGCCGGCCUCGGAGGAGCCACCAAAGCCAGCCUGAGCUCCGUCCUGCACCCAGGAUUCCCGGGGCUGCCUUUCCAAAGUGGUUGUGCUUCAUCACCAAGGAUGCAGGAGGUGGAGGGAAAGGAGGAGGAAGAAGCUGGGGAUCGGCUGCAGCACUGAGGGCUGCCCCGAACACAACAACACUCUUCAAAGUUUCUCAAGAGGCUGCCACUGCUCUUUAAAGGCACGUGCACCCUGGAGCCAGGAUGGCAAGGAGUUGGCCCCAGCACGGCUCUCGUGGUGGAAUCACUCAUUGCAGCCACAGUCCCACCCUUGGCUUCUUCCUUUACCAAGGCAGGCUCAAGUGACACCAGUGUCCCAUCCAGGGCAGGUAUAGCCCCAGGUCCCCACGUGCAAAGUCAUUGCUCCUUGCAGGCUGCAACAACCCAGAGACAAAGCGGUACUUGGCAGAGGAAUAAAACGAUGCCUCGUCUGUGAGGGAUGCAAACACUGAAGAGAGUUACGUCUUGCAGAGCUCCUUCCUCCCUGGACAGAUGAUAUGGCCCACUCAAGCAAUCAGUCAG